rnacentral:tRNA from 1 species
GCCAGACUAGCUCAGUUGGUAGAGCAUGAGACUCUUAAUCUCAAGGUCAUGGGUUCAAGCCCCAUAUCAGGUG